UGGGGAAUAUUGCACAAUGGAGGGAACUCUGAUGCAGCGACGCCGCGUGAACGAAGAAGGCUUUCGUGUCGUAAAGUUCUUUUAUAUGGGAAGAUAAUGACGGUACCAUAAGAAAAAGCCCCGGCUAACUACGUGCCAGCAGCCGCGGUAAUACGGAGGGGGCUAGCGUUGUCCGGAAUCACUGGGCGUAAAGGGUUCGCAGGCGGAAAUGCAAGUCAGGUGUAAAAGGCAGUAGCUUAACUACUCUAAGCAUUUGAAACUGCAUAGCUUGAGUAGAGUAGAGGUAAGUGGAGUUUUUAGUGUAGCGGUGAAGUGCGUAGAUAUUAAAAAGAAUACCGGUGGCGAAGGCGACUUACUGGGCUCAUUCUGACGCUGAGGAACGAAAGCGUAGGUAGCAAACAGG
rnacentral:rRNA from 1 species